UCCGGCGUCGUCGUCGUCGUCCGGCGUCGUUGUCCGAAGACACAUUGGUUUUAGCACUCUAACUUUAGUUUAAGUAAAUGGAUCUUUUUGAAAUUUGACCAUAAGGUUAAAUACCACAAAAGGAAGGUUGGGAUUGAUUUUGGGGGUUAUGGUACCAACAGUUAAGGAAUUAGGGGCCAAAAAGGGGCCAAAAAUAAGCAUUUCUAGUUUCCAGACAAUAACUGUGGAACGGUGUAUGGAUCUCUCUGAAAUUAUACUACAAGUUUCCAUACCACAAAGGGAUGGUUAGGAUUUGCUUUGGGGGGUUAUGGCUCAAACUGUUUAGGAAUUAGGGGCAAAAAAGGGGGAAAAACAAGGUUGUCCUGGUUAAUGGACAAAUACUUUAGUACAAAACAUAAUUUAAAGCAGUGUAAGGGAGAUAAAUCAAAUACAUCAUUGAAAUUAUCUCCCUUACACUGCUUUUAAAUUAUGUAUAAAGUAAUGGUUAAUGAACAAUAAAGAUAAUCUAAAACAGUGUAAGGGAGGUAAUCCAAAUACAACGUUUUGGUUACUUCCCUUACACUGCUUUUAAAUUAUGUUUAAAGAAAUGCAUAUUUAUAAAGGAAGACCAUUAAAAGUAUCUGCAAAUGUUUUCAUCUUUUUUUUUUACAAAAAAAUCCAUAUGAAAGAUUUGACACUAUAUUUUUAUUAAUUCUAUUAUAAAAUAGAUUAAGUUAGCACUAUGGUAAAUUUAAAUGGGUAAUUAUGGUUGCCAACUCCAUUGGAAAUUUGAAUUGAGAUUAUGACCAUAUCUUGAGGGAAAGAAUUUUUUUUGGGGAAAAAGGGGGGGGGAUAAAAAGAAAUUGUGGGGGGCCAAUUUUUUCUCAUUUCAGAUUUCAGAAAUUAAAAAGAAUUAUUCUUCAAAUAUUAUUUUUUUUUCAAAUUUCAAAUAUUGAAAAAUUUCAAGAAGUAAUCUUUAAUUGCACAGUAUGGCGCAUUAGAUUUGUAAAAUCUUUGAUCACAUUUAUUUAUUUGUUAUGCCGAAUCUAACAGUGUAUUUAGAUUUUUAAUUUUGGGUCCAGUUUUCAAAUUGGUCUACAUUAAUGUCCAAAGGGUCCAAAAUUAAACUUUGUUUGAUUUUAGCAAAAAUUGAAUAUAUGAGGUUCUUUGAUAUGCUGAAUCUAAACAUGUAUUUAGAUUUUUGAUUUUUGGCCCAGUUUUCAAGUUGGUCCAAAUUGGGGUCCAAAAUUAAACUUUGUUUGAUUUCAACAAAAAUUGAAUAUAUGGGGUUCUUUGAUAUGCUGAAUCUAACCAUGUAUUUAGAUUUUUUAUUUGUGGACCCCGUUAUCUAAUUGGUUCAUAUUGAGGUCAAAAGGGUCCAAAAUUAAACUUUGUUUGAUUUCAUCUAAAAUUGAAUUAUUGGGGUUCUUUGAUAUUCCAAAUCUAACCGUGUAUUUAGGUUUUUAAUUUUGGGUCCUGUUUUUUAAAUUGGUCUACAUUGAGGUCCAAAGGGUCCAAAAUUAAACUUAGUUUGAUUUUAACAAAAAUUGAAUUCUUGGGGUUCUUUGAUUUGCUGAAUCUAAACAUGUGUUUAGAUUUUUGAUUAUGGGCCCAGUUUUCAAGUUGGUCCAAGAUAGGGUCCAGUAUUUAAACUUUGUUUGAUUUCAACAAAAAUUGAAUAUAUGGGGUUCUUUGAUAUGCUGAAUCUAAACAUGUAUUUAGAUUUUUGAUUAUGGGCCCAGUUUUCAAGUUGGUCCAAAUUGGGGUCCAAAAUUAAACUUUGUUUGAUUUCAACAAAAAUUGAAUAUAUGAGGUUCUUUGAUAUGCUGAAUCUAACCAUGUAUUUAGAUUUUUUAUUUGUAGGCCCCGCUAUCAAAUUGGUUCAUAUUGAGGUCAAAAGGGUCCAAAAUUAAACUUUGUUUGAUUUCAUCGAAAAUUGAAUUAUUGGGGUUCUUUGAUAUGCCAAAUCUAACCGUGUUUUUAGAUUUUUAAUUUGGGUCCCGUUUUUUAAAUUGGUCUUCAUUGAGGUCCAAAGGGUCCAAAAUUAAACUUAGUUUGAUUUUAACAAAAAUUGAAUUCUUGGGGUUCUUUGAUAUGCUGAAUCUAAACAUGUGUUUAGAUUUUUGAUUAUGGGCCCAGUUUUCAAGUUGGUCCAAGUUGGGGUCCAAAAUUAAACUUUUUUUGAUUUCAACAAAAAUUGAAUAUAUGGGGUUCUUUGAUAUGCUGAAUCUAACCAUGAAUUUAGAAUUUUUAUUUGUGGGCCCCGCUAUCAAAUUGGUUCAUAUUGAGGUCAAAAGGGUCCAAAAUUAAACUUUGUUUGAUUUCAUCAAAAAUUGAAUUAUUGGGGUUCUUUGAUAUUCCAAAUCUAACCGUGUAUUUAGAUUUUUAAUUUUAAGUCCCGUUUUUUAAAUUGGUCUACAUUAAGGUCCAAAGGGUCCAAAAUUAAACUUAGUUUGAUUUUAGCAAAAAUUGAAUUCUUGGGGUUCUUUGAUAUGCUGAAUCUAAACAUGUGUUUAGAUUUUAGAUUAUGGGCCAAGUUUUCAAGUUUGUCCAAGUUGGGGUCCAAAAAUUGAAUAUUUGGGGUUCUUUGAUAUGCUGAAUCUAACCAUGUAUUUUGAUUUUGGACAUUGGACCAUAAUAGGUAAAUUAAAAAAAUUCAAGUUCUUAGACCACAUUCUUUCUGUGUCAGAAACCUAUGCUGUGUCAAAUAUUUAAUAACAAUCCAAAUUCAGAGCUGUAUCAAGCUUGAAUGUUGUGUCCAUACUUGCCCCAACUGUUCAGGGUUCGACCUCUGCGGUCGUAUCAAGCUGCGCCCCAGCGAAGCAUUUUAUUGUAAAAUUGCAU